CAGUAAUGUAGAGCGAAUCUCAAAAAAGCAUUCUCAGUUCGGAUUGUGGGCUGCAACCCGCCCACAUGAAGUCGGAGUUGCUAGUAAUCCCGAAUCAGAAUGUCGGGGUGAAUGCGUUCCCGGGUCUUGUACACACCGCCCGUCACGCCAUGGGAGUCGGGGGUACCCGAAGUCGGUGAGCUAACCGCAAGGAGGCAGCCGCCUAAGGUAAAACCGAUGACUGGGGUGAAGUCGUAACAAGGUAUC
rnacentral:rRNA from 1 species